GGGAGUAAAAGUCGUAACAAGGUUUCCGUAGGUGAACCUGCGGAAGGAUCAUUAUUGUAUAACCGAGGUGCGAGGGCUGUCGCUGACCCGAAAGGUCGUGCACGCCCGAGUGCCCUCACACACAUCCAUCUCACCCCUAUGUACACCACCGCGUGGGUCCCCCUUUGGCUUGUUCGGAGGGGGGCUUACGUUUUCACACAAACUUUGUAUGCAGUGUAGAAUGUAUUUUUUGUUUUUGCGAUCACGCAAUCAAUACAACUUUCAACAACGGAUCUCUUGGCUCUC
rnacentral:misc_RNA from 1 species